GCUGUGAGUAACUCAGUGAUAGAGCACUUGCCUAGCAUGUAUGAAACCUGGGUUCAAUCCCCAGCACUGCA
rnacentral:tRNA from 1 species